UAGCUCAGUUGGUAGAGCAUCUGACUUUUAAUCAGAGGGUCGCUGGUUCGAACC
rnacentral:tRNA from 1 species